rnacentral:rRNA from 1 species
GAGUUUGAUCCUGGCUCAGAUUGAACGCUGGCGGCGUGCCUAACACAUGCAAGUCGAGCGAUUCUCUUCGGAGAAGAGCGGCGGACGGGUGAGUAACGCGUGGGUAACCUGCCCUGUACACACGGAUAACAUACCGAAAGGUAUGCUAAUACGAGAUAAUAUACUUUUAUCGCAUGGUAGAAGUAUCAAAGCUUUUGCGGUACAGGAUGGACCCGCGUCUGAUUAGCUAGUUGGUAAGGUAACGGCUUACCAAGGCGACGAUCAGUAGCCGACCUGAGAGGGUGAUCGGCCACAUUGGAACUGAGACACGGUCCAAACUCCUACGGGAGGCAGCAGUGGGGAAUAUUGCACAAUGGGCGAAAGCCUGAUGCAGCAACGCCGCGUGAGCGAUGAAGGCCUUCGGGUCGUAAAGCUCUGUCCUCAAGGAAGAUAAUGACGGUACUUGAGGAGGAAGCCCCGGCUAACUACGUGCCAGCAGCCGCGGUAAUACGUAGGGGGCUAGCGUUAUCCGGAAUUACUGGGCGUAAAGGGUGCGUAGGUGGUUUCUUAAGUCAGAGGUGAAAGGCUACGGCUCAACCGUAGUAAGCCUUUGAAACUGGGAAACUUGAGUGCAGGAGAGGAGAGUGGAAUUCCUAGUGUAGCGGUGAAAUGCGUAGA